UGCUGUAGCUCAAAGGACAGAACUCAGUCAUACUGUUGUUGUGUGAAUUACCUGUGUGAAUCACCUGUCACGGUGUCCCGCUUUGGUUUAUCGUUUGUGUGUUAAGUGAAUAGCGCGACCGAUGCUAAUGCGCUAGCCCGUCAAUGGGCUUUUUAUGCUAUGUUAGCACAGAGCUAACUGCUAUUUACCACGCAUGUUGUGUUGAAAAUAAUCAUUUCAGUUUGUUUGUAUUGUAUUUUUGUUUGUAUUUGUGAAACGAAGUGACAGACUUUCUUUAUUAUGUUUUGUUUUCCAGUUUCACAGAUCUGCUCAGUGAAAGAAACGGUUUAACUGUUCAGCUGCGGCCAAAUAAAAAUACAUAGUGCUGCAAGUUUUCCCACAGUGUUUGUGAACUUCUGGUUCCUCAGUCAAACAUUGAUUUUUUCCACUUUUUCUUUCUUUCUUUCAAUAGUUUGUGUGAAAAAACGUCUGAAGUCCGUUUCUGCCAAAGCUGCUGAAAUUCAGCCUGAACGCUGCGUUCAGGAGCAGUCACACUGGAAAAAGUGAGCCGAGCGUCUGCAGGGAAACACUGACAGCAGCUCCGAGAAGAAAUAUUCAUCUGCAAACAGUGUGACCCGCUCACGUCCAGCCCAGGUCCAGCUCAGGUCCAGCCCACGUCCAGCUCAGGUCCAGCCCACGUCCAGCUCAUGUCCAGCUCAGGUCCAGCUCACGUCCAGCUCAGGUCCAGCUCAGGUCCAGCCCACGUCCAGCUCAGGUCCAGCUCACGUCCAGCCCACGUCCAGCCCACGUCCAGCUCAGGUCCAGCUCACGUCCAGCCCACGUCCAGCUCAGGUCCAGCUCACGUCCAGCCCACGUCCAGCUCAGGUCCAGCUCACGUCCAGCCCACGUCCAGCCCACGUCCAGCUCAGGUCCAGCUCACGUCCAGCCCACGUCCAGCUCAGGUCCAGCUCACGUCCAGCCCACGUCCAGCCCACGUCCAGCAUCCCACCAUCACAUCCACCCAGACCACACCAUCAGGUGGCAGCAGCUCUGACAUCAUUACAUUAAGGAUUCCUGCAGCAGAAAGAAUUCCUUCUGUGUUUCCAGCAGAGGAUUUGUUGGAAGAAUGCACCCGAGUUAAUGGAGGAGGAGUGUUUCUGCUGCACUUUCUCCUGCGGUUUCAGAGCUGCUGUAUCACAUAUCAUCGCUCCUCCUGUCAGACGUGUGCAGCUUCCAGUUCCCGUCCACAGUGUGACCGUCCACAGGACGCACGUCCUCCCACCCGAGCAUUCACCACUCCCCGGACGGAGGAGGACGACACCUGCAGCGUCCAGCACUCACAGGUCCACAAGAUGGAGGAUGGAGGACCUGAAAAAGCUGCUGACACCAGACUGAUGAGGAGGGAAGCUGCUGUGGGAAAGCCUGAGUGAGUCAGACAGACAGGAGGGGGACCACGGCCAGGACGUGUCCAUCAAAGGACAUAAACUGAUGUCUCUCAGCUUCUACUGGAAUUUAAAGUGAAGUUAUGGGAUUAUAAACAACGACUGGACUGAAGAGCAGCUACCACAGCUCUGUGACUCCUAUUGUCCUACGCUCUGGUGAAGUAAAACCCACAUGCUGUACAUCAUAAAACAGUGAAGACUGUGUGUGUGUGUGUGUGUGUGUGUGUGUGUGUGUCAGGGGACGUGACCUUACAUUAACCCUGCUGUGAAGGUUCAGAGGAGGAUGAAGAGGAGCGUGGCUCCGCCUUCUCACUCCUGCCACAAAGAAUGAAAUAAAGAAGAAAAAAGAAAAGCUGGAGUUUGAGUUUGAAUAAAGGAUAAUUCAGUCUCCGACAGCAGAUCUCUCACCUCCUCCCUGUGAAAACACUGAGCAGGUUUUUUCAGUCACUGAGGAAACAUGAAGAAGGUUUCAUCAGGCAG